GACGAACGCUGGCGGCGUGCUUAACACAUGCAAGUCGAACGGAAAGGCCCCUUUGGGGGUACUCGAGUGGCGAACGAGUGAGUAACACGUGAGUAACCUGCCCUUGACUUCGGGAUAACUUCAGGAAACUGGGGCUAAUACCGGAUAGGAAUCCUUGCUGCAUGGUGGGGGUUGGAAAGCUUCGGCGGUUUUGGAUGGACUCGCGGCUUAUCAGCUUGUUGGUGGGGUAGUGGCUUACCAAGGCUUUGACGGGUAGCCGGCCUGAGAGGGCGACCGGCCACAUUGGGACUGAGAUACGGCCCAGACUCCUACGGGAGGCAGCAGUGGGGAAUAUUGCACAAUGGGCGGAAGCCUGAUGCAGCAACGCCGCGUGCGGGAUGACGGCCUUCGGGUUGUAAACCGCUUUCAGCAGGGGCGAAGCUUGUGGUGACGGUACCUGCAGAAGAAGCACCGGCUAACUACGUG
rnacentral:rRNA from 1 species